CAGGCCCCCGUAGGUGACCUGCGGAGGGAUCAUUACACAAAUAUGAAGGCGGGCUGGAACCUCUCGGGGUUACAGCCUUGCUGAAUUAUUCACCCUUGUCUUUUGCGUACUUCUUGUUUCCUUGGUGGGUUCGCCCACCACUAGGACAAACAUAAACCUUUUGUAAUUGCAAUCAGCGUCAGUAACAAAUUAAUAAUUACAACUUUCAACAACGGAUCUCUUGGUUCUGGCAUCGAUGAAGAACGCAGCGAAAUGCGAUAAGUAGUGUGAAUUGCAGAAUUCAGUGAAUCAUCGAAUCUUUGAACGCACAUUGCGCCCUUUGGUAUUCCAAAGGGCAUGCCUGUUCGAGCGUCAUUUGUACCCUCAAGCUUUGCUUGGUGUUGGGCGUCUUGUCUCUAGCUUUGCUGGAGACUCGCCUUAAAGUAAUUGGCAGCCGGCCUACUGGUUUCGGAGCGCAGCACAAGUCGCACUCUCUAUCAGCAAAGGUCUAGCAUCCAUUAAGCCUUUUUUUCAACUUUUGACCUCGGAUCAGGUAGGGAUACCCGCUGAACUUAA
rnacentral:rRNA from 1 species